CACUUUGCAUCAGCAGCACCAUGCGCCAGUGCUCUGGGAGAGUUUCUAGUCCUGACAGUUGAACACUGGAUGACUGACAGCUGUCCUUCAUCACAACAGAAAUUCUCGUCCUCAUCAUCAAAAACAUGACUCUGAUCUGCGUCCUCAUCUGGACUCUCCUCCUCUGCUGCUGCUUCACAGAGUCCAGAGGACAGGUCACAGUGACUCAGCCUGCAGCAGUGACCUCUGCUCUGGGAGCGUCCGUCUCCAUCUCAUGUAGGACCAGUCAGAAUGUUUAUAGUAAUAGCUAUUUGCACUGGCACCAACAGAAAGAUGGAGGAACUCCUAAACUGCUUAUAUACUAUACUAGCAAUCGAGCAUCCAGGGAUUCCAGAUCGUUUUUCAGGCAGUGGAUCACGCUCUGCCUUCACUCUGACCAUCAGUGGAGUCCAGACUGAAGAUGCAGCAGUUUACUACUGUCAGAGUUAUCACAGCAUCAGCAGGCAGCAUGUGUUCACACAGGGAAAAAGCGUUGUACAAAAACUUCCCUCAGUCAGACUGAACAGAAACUGAACUGACUGCUGCAGCUGGAAGUUUCUGCAGAGACUGACACACUUCACUGAGGACACACACACACACACACACACACACACACACACACACACACACACCAUGUAACUUUCACAGAGGGAGAAUUAAAAUUGGCUCCUAUUCAGAUGACAUCCUGAUCAUCCUCCUCAUCCUCUUCUCCUUCAGACCCUAAUCUGAUCAGUAAUCAAAUCAGACGUUCUGCUUUCACUCCUCUUUUAUUGAACAGACUGUUUAAUCAACACCUGCAGUUCACAGAAGAACACCACUUACAUCAAAGAAGAGAAUAAACACACCAUCUUUUAA